GUGCAACUCAGAAAUCGGUGACACAGAUUGGUUUCAUUGUUGGAGGAGUUGUUCCAGGACUUCUUCUUGUCGGCGUCAUCGCAAUUUUGAUUUAUUUGCGUCUGACUUAUAAUAUUCGCUUCACAAAGAAAAGUCAAAAAAGCCAUACAACAGUGUACGAUGAUUUGAGCAGCAGGAACGAAAUAACAAACCGUGUCUACGAUGGAUUGUCAUCGACUUCUCC